rnacentral:rRNA from 1 species
AUUGAACGCUGGCGGCAUGCCUUACACAUGCAAGUCGAACGGCAGCACGGGGCAACCUGGUGGCGAGUGGCGAACGGGUGAGUAAUGCAUCGGAACGUACCUUUCAGUGGGGGAUAACGUAGCGAAAGUUACGCUAAUACCGCAUAUUCUGUGAGCAGGAAAGCAGGGGAUCGCAAGACCUUGCGCGGAUUGAGCGGCCGAUGUCAGAUUAGCUAGUUGGUGAGGUAAAGGCUCACCAAGGCGACGAUCUGUAGCGGGUCUGAGAGGAUGAUCCGCCACACUGGAACUGAGACACGGUCCAGACUCCUACGGGAGGCAGCAGUGGGGAAUUUUGGGCAAUGGGGGCAACCCUGAUCCAGCCAUGCCGCGUGAGUGAAGAAGGCCUUCGGGUUGUAAAGCUCUUUCGGCCGGGAAGAAAUCGCGCGGGCUAAUACCCUGUGUGGAUGACGGUACCGGAAUAAGAAGCACCGGCUAACUACGUGCCAGCAGCCGCCGUAACAC